rnacentral:rRNA from 1 species
UGGGGUAUAUUGCACAAUGGGCGCAAGCCUGAUGCAGCCACGCCGCGUGUAUGAAGAAGGCCUUCGGGUUGUAAAGUACUUUCAGUCGGGAGGAAGGUGGUAAGGUUAAUAACCUUAUCAAUCGACGUUACCGACAGAAGAAGCACCGGCUAACUCCGUGCCAGCAGCCGCGGUAAUACGGAGGGUGCAAGCGUUAAUCGGAAUUACUGGGCGUAAAGCGCACGCAGGCGGUUGAUUGAGUCAGAUGUGAAAUCCCCGGGCUUAACCCGGGAAUUGCAUCUGAUACUGGUCAGCUAGAGUCUUGUAGAGGGGGGUAGAAUUCCAUGUGUAGCGGUGAGAUGCGUAGAGAUGUGGGGGAAUACCGGUGGCGAAGGCGGCCCCCUGGACAAAGACUGACGCUCAGGUGCGAAAGCGUGGGGAGCGAACAGG